rnacentral:rRNA from 1 species
GACGAACGCUGGCGGCGUGCCUAAUACAUGCAAGUAGAACGCUGAAGAGAGGAGCUUGCUCUUCUUGGAUGAGUUGCGAACGGGUGAGUAACGCGUAGGUAACCUGCCUUGUAGCGGGGGAUAACUAUUGGAAACGAUAGCUAAUACCGCAUAACAAUGGAUGACACAUGUCAUUUAUUUGAAAGGGGCAAUUGCUCCACUACAAGAUGGACCUGCGUUGUAUUAGCUAGUAGGUGAGGUAAUGGCUCACCUAGGCGACGAUACAUAGCCGACCUGAGAGGGUGAUCGGCCACACUGGGACUGAGACACGGCCCAGACUCCUACGGGAGGCAGCAGUAGGGAAUCUUCGGCAAUGGGGGCAACCCUGACCGAGCAACGCCGCGUGAGUGAAGAAGGUUUUCGGAUCGUAAAGCUCGGUUGUAAGUCAAGAACGGGUGUGAGAGUGGAAAGUUCACACUGUGACGGUAGCUUACCGGAAAGGGACGGCUAACUACGUG